UACGUAGGGUGCAAGCGUUGUCCGGAAUUAUUGGGCGUAAAGAGCUCGUAGGCGGUCUGUUGCGUCCGCUGUGAAAACUCGGGGCUUAACCCCGAGCCUGCAGUGGAUACGGGCAGACUAGAGGUAGGUAGGGGAGAAUGGAAUUCCCGGUGUAGCGGUGAAAUGCGCAGAUAUCGGGAGGAACACCGGUGGCGAAGGCGGUUCUCUGGGCCUUCCCUGACGCUGAGGAGCGAAAGCGUGGGGAGCGAACAGG
rnacentral:rRNA from 1 species